AGGAAACGAGAAACGCUUCUAGCGCAGAAGUAAGUGGAUCUAACGUAGGAAGUUAUAGACAUGCGAUGUUUCGUGGAAUAGAAAAGCAUAUGUUACAUAUUAGGUAAUUCUUGCGGAAAGAAGUACAAUUUCUAGCUUCCAACGUAACUAUCGUGCGAAGAAGUACGCGAAACGUUAUAAUCACGAGCAGCUAUAUCAAUUGAACAUACGACAAAUUGAACAUAAUGUAAUAAACCUUAAUAGAACGUCGAAAUUAUAAUCGAGAUCCUAAACAGAUCUGCAACUCCAGAGAGUCUGAAAGCCCUUAAAAGAACCUCGGAUCAGAACACUCUGUCGCAAAUCGUUGGUCAGACUCUUGAGAAUUUUCCAGUCUUCAAACAAUCGACAACCUCUAACAAUGGAUUGACCCGUAUCUUCUAAGGAGAUCAAAACUUAAAUGGAAAAAACUCGUACAUUAAACGUCGAUAAGUCGUUGUGAUAGAGUACUGUUGCUUUCUUCUCAUUUUUUGAAAAUUACUCAGAAAAAAACCGAAACUAUGAGUGCCGGGAUUCGAACCAGCGUCUUCAGCGUUCGUAACCAACGGCGCUAACCACAGCUCUACCGUCGUCUGGUCGGAUAGGGUCUCUGUGUAGCAAGCCACGGGACAGAGACCGUUAGAAGAUUGCUGUGGAGUGCGGCUAUAAAUUAUUUUGUCGUUUAUCAUAUGAUUUUGUGACGACUUAUACGAUUUGAUUAUACU